rnacentral:rRNA from 1 species
AUUGAACGCUGGCGGCAGGCUUAACACAUGCAAGUCGAGCGGGGUGAUGGUGCUUGCACUAUCACUUAGCGGCGGACGGGUGAGUAAUGCUUAGGGAUCUGCCUAUUAGUGGGGGACAACAUCUCGAAAGGGAUGCUAAUACCGCAUACGUCCUACGGGAGAAAGCAGGGGAUCACUUGUGACCUUGCGCUAAUAGAUGAGCCUAAGUCGGAUUAGCUAGUUGGUGGGGUAAAGGCCUACCAAGGCGACGAUCUGUAGCGGGUCUGAGAGGGUGAUCCGCCACACGGGGACUGAGACACGGCCCGGACUCCUACGGGAGGCAGCAGUGGGGAAUAUUGGACAAUGGGGGGAACCCUGAUCCAGCCAUGCCGCGUGUGUGAAGAAGGCCUUAUGGUUGUAAAGCACUUUAAGCGAGGAGGAGGCUCUUUUGGUUAAUACCCAAGAUGAGUGGACGUUACUCGCAGAAUAAGCACCGGCUAACUCUGUGCCAGCCGCCGCCGUAA